rnacentral:lncRNA from 1 species
CCCGAGCCCCGCAGCCGGGCUUCCGCGUGCGGGCAGCGCCCCCUGCCCCGUCCGGAGCUCUCCGCCGCAGUGAUGGCGGCGACGGGGGCGGCGCAGCCGAGUCACCUGUGGGGCUUCUCACAACUCCACAGCCCCCUCCCCAAACCCUAGGUCACUCGUCCAGAGGAAGAAAAGAAGCAAUCUCAGCAGAUGCAGGGCCCGGCGCGCCGGUGGUGGAGUUUCCAAAAGCCCUACAGGUGAUGCCACCCCGACGCCCCGCGACGCUGGCCCUGGGUAGUCUCGACCCUCUCCGGCUCCGCAGCUUCCCCCGACCCCGCGGGACGGCCGGGGCUUCGGCGGCGAGACUUGGGAAAGUGUCCCCUGCUCUGCGCACCUCCCUCGCUGCGCGGACCGCGCGCUGGAUGCCAGAGCCACGGAGACCCCUCCAGCCCCACUGAUAUGGGAUGUAGACAGAGGCAUUGGCCAAAGCCUGGAGAGACGCACACCCAGAGUCAGAGGGGAAAGAAGCAGAGUGAAGAACCUUUCUGAGAAGCCUGCUCAUCUGUAUGCUCCGAGAGCAGUGGAAGCCACAGCACAGGAAGCUUCAUUGGGAAGGGCCUUGUGAAUCAGUCCAGGCUCAUGGGCACAACUAGCCAUUUGAGAUAGAACUGGGAACAGGAGGCCCACUGUCUCAGAGGAUUGCAUCAAGAACUGUGCCCCCGAGCAGCUGAAGACUGCAGGGUCUUGGAGCUGCAGGGACAGGAGGGAAGGAGCCAAUACUCCACCAGGCAUCCACUCUUUUCACAUACUAUCUUUUCAUGAAUCUCUGCAGUCGUGAUAGAAAGUACCCCCAAAAUGUCUCCAUCUGAAAGUAGAGGAAACUGAGGCUGAGAGGCAUAAAAGUGACUGGCCUAACACAUCAGUGAAUAAAUGGCCUGAAAGAUCUUUAACACUAGUCUGCUCUAAUUCUGCAUGAUGACUCUUCCUUUAUGUCAUGCAGUCAAGCCUUGCCACCAGCCAGAAUUUCUGAGAUGCAUCACUGGUUUAUAAAGCGGUGUCAAAUGGUAUGAGCAUGGAGGGGAUGACAUGUGUGCAGUGGGUCACAGCACUUCUCUUUCUUCAGACUCGAAGUCCAAGUUUUGUCAGAAAAUUCUCAUGGAAAGACAGACAGAUACCAGGCUGACCUAGCAUCCACUCAUUCUCUCCCUCUCUCUCUCUCUCUCUCUCUCUCUCUCUCUCUCUCAGUUUGGAAAAAGGAUUUGUAGGUCAUUUAGUCCAAAUUUCUAAUUCCUGAAUUAAAGUUGCAGUAUCUAAAGUAAAUAGCUUUCUAGCCUGUGCUUGGAGAUUUAUAGACUGUAAGGACUUUUACAAAGG